UGCGUCGGCCGGGACUCUUACCCAGAUCAACUGCUUGGAAGGCAGCUUUGCUGACCAUUAUAUCACCGACGC